AAAUUAGUGGCAGACGGGUGAGUAAUGCAUAGGAAUCUACCUAGUAGUAUGGGAUAGCCACUAGAAAUGGUGGGUAAUACUGUAUAAUCCCUGCGGGGGAAAGAUUUAUCGCUAUUAGAUGAGCCUAUGUUAGAUUAGCUAGUUGGUAGGGUAAAGGCCUACCAAGGCAGUGAUCUAUAGCUGGUCUGAGAGGAUGAUCAGCCACACUGGAACUGAGAUACGGUCCAGACUCCUACGGGAGGCAGCAGUGGGGAAUAUUGGACAAUGGGCGCAAGCCUGAUCCAGCUAUGCCGCGUGAGUGAGGAAGGCCUUAGGGUUGUAAAACUCUUUCAGUGGGGAAGAUAAUGACGGUACCCACAGAAGAAGUCCCGGCAAACUCCGUGCCAGCAGCCGCGGUAAUACGGAGGGGGCAAGCGUUGUUCGGAAUUAUUGGGCGUAAAGGGCAUGUAGGCGGUUCGGUAAGUUAAAGGUGAAAUGCCAGGGCUUAACCCUGGAGCUGCUUUUAAUACUGCCAGACUCGAGUCCGGGAGAGGAUA
rnacentral:rRNA from 1 species